GUUCUAUGCAGGCAGAUGAGUACCACAGCUGUAACUGAGGCACACGGCAAUAAACACAGUGGAGCCAAUUUCUACGAUGGCGAGAGAGGGGGCAUCAGAGUUGACAACAAUGACAAGGAUCCAAGGACCGUCCUUCUGACAAGUUUCAGAUUUGCAGCCUCAUGGAGCGAGUGACGGAGUGGGUUGCCAACUUGUAGUGACUCCACUCAGCAACGCAGAAUGGCUGCGGGAAAUGUGUAUUCAGAUAAGCCCAAAGAAGUCUGCCCAGGGUGAAACAAGUACCUUUGAAGUUUAAAUCAGGUGUGUGAAGAAUGCUGGAAACAUGACUUCUUAGGUUUUAGAUUUUUUUUUUUAUAUUUAUGUUUCUCAAGAAAACUGAUGACUCUUGCCUGUUCUCCUAGCUCUUUUAACGCUAAAGAACACACCCUAAAGUGUAACCCACCCUCUCUCCUAGGAUUCAGUAUGCUCUAUUCCACUGCCUGGAAGGGUCUUCUAUUUUAUCAGAACUUUUGAUUUUCAAGGCAUGAUUGUGAUUUUCAUAUUUAAAAAAAGGUUUUGAUUUUGGAGGUAUUUUUAAAUUGGGAAUUGAAGUUUGAUAGGCUUUACCAUUUGUCUAUUUUCUUAAAAUAGUAAGUAGUAAUUGUAACAUAUGUGUUAAUUGCAACAUACUUAAGAAAGUAACAAUCAAGUUGCAUUUUAAAACUAUAUGUUCAUGUUAUCCUUAAAAAGUUAAGUGGAUCAGAAAAAUCAAGCGAAGCUAAUAAGUUUUUUAGAAAGUGUAAACCACAUUUCCUUGCAGGAUGAAGUUGUGCUUAAUAGCCUUUUUAAUUUAUUCAGAAACUACACAACUUUUGUUGCUAUAUUUUGUUAGAAAGGAAGGAGAGGCUGUUUCUACAGGUGUCAGAGAAAAAUCGAUACUGAGCCAUGGAUUAUUGAAUCCCGUAGAACCAUGGAGGCUUGGCAGUGAAAUUCUUCCAAAGGCAGACGGUGUUCCUAGGUUUGGAAACAUAAAUCCCAGGGGAAGUGAGCUGAAGAACAUUUUAUGCAUCACUCAUCCUAUUAUGAGCCCUAUGCUGCUCCAUCUCUACAAGGUAAGCAAUAUAUUGUGA
rnacentral:lncRNA from 1 species